GAAUAGUUAAGUCAGCAGAGCAUGAGACUCUUAAUCUCAAGGUUGUGGGAUCGAGACCCAUGUUGGGCA